CAGUCGCCGCGGGAAUACGAAGGGGGCUAGCGCUGUUCGGAAUUACUGGGCGUAAAGGGCGCGUAGGCGGCCAUUCAAGUUAGAUGUGAAAGCCCUGGGCUCAACCUAGGAAUUGCAUUUGAUACUGUUUGGCUUGAGUUCGGGAGAGGUGAGUGGAAUUCCCAGUGUAGAGGUGAAAUUCGUAGAUAUUGGGAAGAACACCAGUGGCGAAGGCGGCUCACUGGACCGACACUGACGCUGAGGCGCGAAAGCGUGGGGAGCAAACAGGAUUAGAUACCCCUGUAGUCCCUGUCUCUUAUAC
rnacentral:rRNA from 1 species